AGCCCAGCCAAUUUUUAAUCUAGUUUACAUUUACUUAGUGAUUUAUAUUUUUGGUCUCAGUUUGUUAUUCUGUUUUACGAUAUAUUUUCUAUAUGGCUCAUUAUUUCUACUUAAAUUCUUUCAAUUAUGUGUUUGCCUUUGUUUCAUCUUGCUAUCAGUAUUUCUUUUGGUGUUUAGGAAGUUUUGACUUUUAGAUCUUGUAGUUUAAUUUAUACCGUUAAAAACGUUACUUAAUCACCUCUUUUUAACGUACUCUGUGUUGACUUUCUUAUUACAAAUAAGACUAAAGUUAGUCCCUCACUGUUGCCCCUACCUUCCAAGUUUAAUCACUAGCGUUAUUUUAGUGUUCAUCAUUACAUCACAAAUUACUCAUGCUUCUACCUCAUUUAUUAAUUUACUAUAUAUUGUUAACUGUUAGAUGUAUUUUAAGUCUUAAAUAUGCUUAAGCAUGUACUACUUCAUUUGUUAGCUUCAAGUAAUAUUUACCUCCCGUUAAUGCACAUGAGAAAAGUUUAUUUCACUAUCCAUUAUUCCUACCUUGUAUUUUUGUUAGUGUUAAUAUUUGAACAUACAAAAAGUACAGAUUAUUUUUUCACCAGUUUUCCAUCUUAUAACCUUAGUUCCACUAAGUUAAAUAUUUCCUAAACCUUUAACAGACGUGUGUUUGGUAGAUUUUGGUUUUUUGGUAGAUUUGUCAGGAAGUAAUUAUGAGAAUGACAUCCCUUGACGUCUUGCAUAUUUAUAGCUGUUUGUCUGUGGCUUUUAUUUUGAAGAAGACUUUGGCUGGACAUAAAAUUCUCAUCUCAUAUUUUCUUCCCAUUAAAUUAUUUUUUAAAAGGCUACAUUCUUUUUCUAACAAAUGUCGCUAUUGAGAAUUCUUACAUCAAUCUGAUAGUUGUUUCCUCGUAAGUGAUUUUAACUUCUUGUCUGGAUACCACAGGGAUUUUUCAACUCAUUUUAAGAAUAUAAUAAUCAUUGCUUAGAAUAUGACAUGAUGUUCAUAAUUUUGGUCAAUUUUCUCAGAUACACAGUGUAAGGUACAUGGAUGUGCUUUGGUCAAGGAAUAGGCCGAGGCGGAUAUCCAGGCCUACAUGACUCAGCGAGUUUGGCGCACAGGCGCACACCUCCACUUGUUAUAUAACCUGUUUGUGUAAGUUCAUACUUGGCUUUGAGCCACUGUUGUCUGUAAAAGGUAUAAUUGCCCUGCUAAUGCUGUACAGGGGCUCUUCGGGCUCGGCUCAGCUCAACAUGGCUUAACAUGAUGGGUGUGCUGGCAUCCAGAGAAAGGGAGAGAGAGAACCAAAGCUGUCUGUCUUAGGGACAGAGGUGAGCCACAGCAUGGCUUGCGCUGGUGCCAAGAGAGAGAAAGAGUGAAGCUGCUGACCCUGAAGGCAAGGGAGAGCUGAUCAUGCAGCUGCAGGCGUGGGGGCAGCAGGUGCCACAGAGCCCGAGCAAACAGCCGAGAUAAAGGCGAAUAGUGUUGAGAGCUAGUGUGAGAAAGCUGCUGAUGAGAGUUGCUGCUGAAUAAAAUCAUCUUUUACCUGCCUACGGCCCCCAGAGUGUUCUUUCUGCUCAUCCACCCGCUCCCCUCGGACUUCAGCAUGGGCUGGACCUCGACCCUAGGAUCUGACAAUUGGCCAUGAGGAUGGGAUGAGCCAACACCUUUAUUGGAAAGUUUCUUGAGCUGACUGUUCAUUUGAAAUUUAUCCCUGAGAAGUUUGCACUGUGGAUCCUGCCUUUAUAAGAUGCUGACUUAUUUCCUUCACUCCUUCAACUGCAUGUGGGCAGACUAGGAAGGAACUAGCAGGAUUUCCUGAAUGAUAGACAUUCUCCUCCUUAUCUCCAGUCAUACGUCAGCAAUCCUACCUCUCUCCUUGAUAGUAAGAAUCAUUUACCCUAGAUAACACAAUAGAUAAGGAAUAUGGUAAUUGAAGCUCUUCCCACUUGAAGGUGUUUCCAUUCCCAUUGACCUUCCAGACCACUCAAAAUGGUAAAAGCAGAGCCGUAACGAUCCAGUUUUGUGUGGUGCCAGGAUGCCAUGAAGAACCAUCUGUAAGCCAGACUUGAGCAGCAUGAAAACGGACUAAUACAGACAUUCUGGGAAUGUGAAGAUCCCACCCGUGUUACUGUGAACACAUUCAGGAGCUGCCAAAGCCUGAUAAAGUACAUAUCUUUCCCACUUGGAAACAGAGGCUUAUUUAGUCCUGCCUGUCUUCGAUUGAGGAUGACAUUCUGCGGUUGAAAAAAAGGGUGAAGUUAUUUCCAGAAAGAAAAAAAAACUCUUUCACCCUGGAGCAGCCAUUUGGAAAUUAUUUAAUCACAGUAAGAGGAACCUUGAACACAUUAGGUUAUUUUCAGACGAUCUUUCCAGAGGUAAGCAGCCAAAUUCUCACUAAGAAUAAGUUCAUCUAGCAUUGAGAUUGCGUCAGUAUCAGAAACACAAAAUACUACUGAGCCAUGACAGUCUCUCUUAACCAAUGAUUUUAGAGAAAUCUGGGUGGUUUUCCAUGUGCCGCCUGGUGCUGGGCAGGUUGGCUGUUGCAUGUUUGUAAGGUUCAGCUGUGUCCAGAGAGAAAUAUAAAAUAAAUUAAUUUAGCACUGUCUCUGAAUUCUAAUAACAUAGUGUACUAUUUGUUCCUUAAAAAUGUGAAAAACAAAGUUCCAGAAAGUUAGACCCUUGGACAAGUUUGCUAUUAAGAGUAUAAAAAAACAAAUUAACUUGGUCAGAAUUUUAAAAACAGUGAUUUAUUUAAAAAUGAAACACAAAGAAAAUUGCAGCGGAAUUUUGCACAUGGUCAGGAUUUAUUAGCAAAUAAAACGUUAUGCAUAUAUAAUAAUUAUGGGAAUCCUCCUGCAUUUGCUGGGGACUUACUAUGUACCCACUGUUGCAGUACUUUUGCGGGUAUACUUUCCCUUCCAUUUUGUAUUGGGAGCUUGGUCUUGUUAGUGGGUCUGUAUUCUUCUACUCUUUACCUUUCAUUCCCUAGUUGGUUUACCUAAAUGCUUGCUGGGAUCUAAGGAUGUUGAAGGAGCAGCAUCUCUGUGGCCUGGGGCACACAGAUUACAGGGUUAAUACUUGAUAACUUGUUUACAUCUUGGAUCUCAGGGUCAAUUUUUCAAGUUUUUAUGAACUAUGACCAGCUGAACCAAAAUACUAAGAUCAUUGGCAUAUUUAAUAACAAUAAUUUUGUUUAAGAGAAAAGCUACGGAUGGACUCUAGGGUUGUAACUUUAGUAGCAAUUAUUUUUAUUUAUCCUAAUAUAUAAAGUUUGCAGUUCACUUAUUCAUUAAACAUUGACUUAUUAUACCUAUGUGCCAGAUACUGUGUUGGACCAUGGAGACACAAAAAUGAGUCCUAAUAGACAUCAUUUUUGUCAUCACAGAGCUCAAUGUUGGGAGGUGGGAGAAGAUAAGAAACACACAGAGAAAGACAUAACCAAAUAACACACACACUAAUACAAAAUUGCAUCUCUGAUAAAUACCUGAAGGAGUGAUUCACGUGCUUUCAGAGUUCUAAUUGCAGGAUGUAGCAGACAGAGGAAAGGAUGCUCUGAGGAAAUGAUUUCUGAGCUAAGAUCCAAGGAAUUAUUCAGAGUUAAGUGUUAAAGAUGUGGGAUGAAUCCAGGGAGAAGAACAUGUGCAAAGGUCCCGUGGCAUGAGAGACAGUGGCAAGAAGAAGGAUUGAAAGAAGGCUGGAGUAAAUAGCAAAGGCAGAGAGGUUGGAACAACAUGACGCUGGGUUGUUAGGUGGACUCCAGAUUGAGAUCUUCAUACUUUACAUAAAAACAUCUUUAAAAUAAUGGGUCUUAAAAAUGAGAGGGCUUUAAUUAGAGGUGGGAAGGUGACAGAGUUAGAUGUAAUUUUUUUCAUAAUCACAUUUGAGAGAGACCAGAGUGGAUGCUGGUAGACCUGGAGCAAUUUCACAUAGUUGUCUGGUUGAAAGAUAUAGUAGGUUUUACAUCUGGUUCCUUAAAAGGUCCACACUUCUUUAAGCACAAAUGUGAAAUGAAAUCGUUUUAUUUUCUCCCCUUACUUCUUUCAAGUAAACCUUGUCAGAUCUCAUUUUCUCAUCCCUUAGUGACAUCUGAACAGAUCCAUACCGCUUGCACACGUUUAAUCAUUUAGUCCAGUUCACGUUGGGCCCAUUCAAAACUUCAGUCUCAUGUUCACAUUGGAAUACUUCUGUCUUCUCUCAACUGCAUACAGCUUUGCUAAAGAACUUCCAAAAAUGACAAAGUGCUAUGUGUGCUUCCGUACCUUCUCCCCAUUCCACUAGCCAUUUCUCCUUUCGUAUGUUGAGAACUUGGAGAAGAGAUGAAGGGAGAAGGAGUCAGAUGCUUUUUUCUCUUAGUGGUGAUGAUGAUGCCAUCCUCUCUUGACCAUCAUUGUUUUUCUGGUGAAUUCCAAUGGGCUUCAAGUGUCCCCUUUGGGACAGCUCCCCAGAUGCCACCGUCUUCCAUGGAGCACGUGUGGGUUCUUCCAUAGCACAUGGGGGGCUCCUUGCCGCCUUGUUGCGCCACUGCCCUUGCUCCCAUCUCUCAUGUCCUACUUGUGCCUUCUUACUGCUGGCUCUUCCUUGCCCAGCAGUCAUCAUCCUACAUAAGUUGCUGGCAAGAUGACUCCCACCCAAGGAACUUCCACAGUGUCUGCUGGACCCGUGGGACACUUACUCAUCCUUGCCCAAGCAAAGGUAGGAAAUCAGGCUGUUUCUGGGCUGCCUCUCUAAAUUGACAUCUCUUUUUCAGUUCUUUCUUUUCUUCACUUAAAUAGUCACAAGUGUAUUGUGACUACUUAAGUAUAUGUAAACUAUAUAAACAGAUGUACCAGAAAAAGAGAAGCCAAUGAAAAUCCAUCUUCCAAUCUCUAUAAGAGAUUUUCGUGGAGCCCACUUCACCUGAACUUAUGGGAGUAGGGAUGCUGUCAGUGGGGCUGAUGGUGCAUCACAAAGCUGCAGACCGCUGCUGUAACCAUAACUUCCACUAUUCCCCUUGAGUCCCUUCCUUCCUCACAGUCAUCUUCUUAUGUAGGCUGGAGGAAGAUGGUGGGAUGAUAGCUGCAGGUUGUAGCUGGUUUGGAUAUUUAAUAAAUCCCAAGGAUGUAUCUGGUCCCCAAAUGCUUUCUGGGGUGUUUAGUAUGUGAAGUAACUUUUACUUUAUAUUCUCAACUCUGGCUUCUGCUUUGAUCUAGUGUGGCAAAAAGCAACUUCUUCAGAAUCCUAAAUGGUUUGGAACUGUAAUGACAUUAAAGGACAUGGAAACGCUGGGCUAGGCCAGAAAAGUACCUGAUAAAACACAUAUUACAGCUGGGUGCGGUGACUCACGCCUGUAAUCCCAGCACUUUGGGAGGCCUAGGCCUGUGGAUCUCC